CGCUAAUACCGCAUACGACCUACGGGUGAAAGCAGGGGAUCUUCGGACCUUGCGCGAUUGAAUGAGCCGAUGUCGGAUUAGCUAGUUGGCGGGGUAAAGGCCCACCAAGGCGACGAUCCGUAGCUGGUCUGAGAGGAUGAUCAGCCACACUGGAACUGAGACACGGUCCAGACUCCUACGGGAGGCAGCAGUGGGGAAUAUUGGACAAUGGGCGCAAGCCUGAUCCAGCCAUACCGCGUGGGUGAAGAAGGCCUUCGGGUUGUAAAGCCCUUUUGUUGGGAAAGAAAUCCAUCCGGCUAAUACCUGGUUGGGAUGACGGUACCCAAAGAAUAAGCACCGGCUAACUUCGUGCCUUCAGCCGCGGUAAUACAAAGGGUGCAAGCGUUACUCGGAAUUACUGGGCGUAAAGCGUGCGUAGGUGGUUGUUUAAGUCUGUUGUGAAAGCCCUGGGCUCAACCUGGGAACUGCAGUGGAAACUGGACAACUAGAGUGUGGUAGAGGGUAGCGGAAUUCCCGGUGUAGCAGUGAAAUGCGUAGAGAUCGGGAGGAACAUC
rnacentral:rRNA from 1 species